UCCCGGGUAGUGUAAUUGGCAACACGCCUGACUCUGAAUCAGGAGAUUCGAGGUUCGAAGCCUUGCCCGGGAGCCA
rnacentral:tRNA from 1 species